rnacentral:lncRNA from 1 species
CAGGACGCCCCGAGCCCUCCAACCAAACGCCCGGGCCGCGCUGUACAGCUCCAUCCGGAUCCCCUUGUCCCGUUUCGGCAGGGUAUAUUUUUGCCUGUCCCUAGUUUUCCUCGUCAUAUAGGCAUUUUGAUCAUGAUACGUCUCCAACGUAUCUAUAACGUAUCUAUAAUUUUUAUCAGUUACCUACUUGAGGACGAGCAGAAAUCACAAAAAAGGAAGCUGUUUGGCAAGUACAGCACUGGACUCUUAACACAAAUCAUUUUCAAGCUGUGCUAGGCAUACCCAAAUAAGUAAGUGUGUCAAUGUCAUCUAAUAUUUUGACGCAGAUGCUUUGCAGCAUUUCGUUGAGAACUAUGUUGUCAUUUCUCGAGGCAUUUGUCACUAGGCAGUGUGAAAUGACUCCUGAGUCCUUUUCCUCAAUGGAUGAAUCAUAUCUCUAUUUAUUUUAUCUAAAAAAGACUUAAAAUUUCGUAUUUCACCAACUAACAUUUCAC